rnacentral:rRNA from 1 species
UGCUAGUCGCGUGCUUCAGCCAAAACGAGGCACGGCACACAGCUCAGUAACACGUGGCUAAUCUGCCCUUGGGAUAGGAAUACCCCCGGGAAACUGGGGCUAAUUCCCAAUAGGUGAAGAACUCUGGAAUGAGUCUCCACCGGAAAAGAGCUUACGUUAUGCUCGUAAGUUUCGCCCAAGGAUGAGGCCGCGACCGAUCAGGUUGUUGGCGAGGUAAUGGCUCACCAAGCCUUUUACCGGUGCGGGCCGUGGGAGCGGGAGCCCGGAGAUGGGUACUGAGACAAGGACCCAGGCCCUACGGGGCGCAGCAGUCGCGAAAACUUUGCAAUAAGCGCAAGCUUGACAGGGCUAUCCCGAGUGCCAUCCGCUGAGGAAGGCUUUUACCCAGUCUAGAACGCUGGGGGAAUAAGGAGAGGGCAAGUCUGGUGUCAGCCGCCGCGGUAAUACCAGCUCUCCGAGUGGUGUGGAUGUUUAUUGGGCCUAAAGCAUCCGUAGCUGGCUAAGUUAGUCCCCUGUUAAAUCCACCGAAUUAAUCGUUGGAUCGCGGGGGAUACUGCUUGGCUAGGGGACGAGAGAGGCAGACGGUAUUUUCGGGGUAGGGGUGAAAUCCUAUAAUCCCGGGAAGACCACCAGUGGCGAAGGCUGUCUGCUAGAACGCGCCCGACGGUGAGGGAUGAAAGCUGGGGGAGCGAACCGGAUUAGAUACCCGGGUAGUCCCAGCUGUAAACGAUGCAGACUAGGUGUUUGGACGGCCACGUGCCGUUCUAGUGCCGCAGGAAAGCUGUUAAGUCUGCCGCCUGGGGAGUACGAUCGCAAGAUUGAAACUUAA